ensembl:snRNA
GUGUUGUAUGAAAGAAGAGAAGGUUAGCACUCUCCUAGACAAGGAUGGAAGAGGCCCUUGGGUCUGACAACACACAUACGGUGAAGGCAUUGCCACCUACUUCAUGGCAUCUAACCAUCAUUUUUC